rnacentral:rRNA from 1 species
UACGGAGGAUUCAAGCGUUACUCGGAAUCACUGGGCGUAAAGAGCGCGUAGGCGGGAUAGCAAGUCAGAUGUGAAAUCCUAUGGCUUAACCAUAGAACUGCAUUUGAAACUGUUAUUCUAGAGUAUGGGAGAGGUAGGUGGAAUUCUUGGUGUAGGGGUAAAAUCCGUAGAUAUUAGGAGGAACACCAGUGGCGAAGGCGGCUUACUGGACUGUAACUGACGUUGAGGCUCGAAAGCGUGGGGAGCAAACAGG